UACGAAGGGUGCAAGCGUUGUUCGGAAUUACUGGGCGUAAAGCGCGCGUAGGCGGUUUGAUAAGUUGGAAGUGAAAGCCCAAGGCUUAACUUUGGAAUUGCUUUCAAAACUAUCAAUCUAGAAUAUGGCAGGGGACAGUGGAAUUCCUAGUGUAGAGGUGAAAUUCGUAGAUAUUAGGAGGAACACCAGUGGCGAAAGCGACUGUCUGGACCAUUAUUGACGCUGAGGCGCGAAAGCGUGGGGAGCAAACAGG
rnacentral:rRNA from 1 species